rfam:Pseudanabaena biceps PCC 7429 scaffold_00012, whole genome shotgun sequence.
CGGGAUGUAGCGCAGCUUGGUAGCGCGCCUGCUUUGGGAGCAGGAUGCCGUAGGUUCGAAUCCUAUCAUCCCGA